rnacentral:rRNA from 1 species
GACGAACGCUGGCGGCGUGCUUAACACAUGCAAGUCGAACGGAAAGGCCCUGCUUUUGCUGGGUGCUCGAUAGGCGAACGGGUGAGUAACACGUGAGUAACCUGCCCUUGACUGUCGGAUAACUUCAGGAAACUGGGGCUAAUACCGGAUAGGAGCUCCUGCUGCAUGGUGUGGGUUGGAAAGUUUCGGCGGUUGGGGAUGGAUUCGCUGCUUAUCAGCUUGUUGGUGGGGUAGUUGCUUACCAAGGCUUCGACGGGUAGCCGGCCUGAGAGGGGGACCAGGCACAAUGGGCCUAAGGUAGGGGCCAGAAGGCAACGUGCGGCAGGGGUGGGAAACAUGGCGCAAUAGGCGGAAGCCGGAGACAACGGCGUCGGGUGCGGAAUAACGGCCUUCGGGGUAUAAACCGCUUUCGACUGUGACGUAGCGAGAGUGACGGUAACGGAUAAGAAAGCAACGGCUAACUACGUG